rnacentral:miRNA from 1 species
CUUCAAAGUCAUGUUUUUUUAUGGCGGCAGCUUUGAAGUAGAGGAAAGAGCAUUGGACUUGGAGUCAGAAGACUUGGGUCUGAGUCCCGACU